UACACGAGCGGCGAACGGGUGAGUAACACGUGAGCAACCUGCCCCCGACACCGGGAUAAGCCGUGGAAACGCGGUCUAAUACCGGAUACGACACGCCCCCGCAUGGGGUGCGUGUGGAAAGGUUUUUUCUGGUCGGGGAUGGGCUCGCGGCCUAUCAGCUCGUUGGUGGGGUAACGGCCUACCAAGGCGAUUACGGGUAGCCGGCCUGAGAGGGCGACCGGCCACACUGGGACUGAGACACGGCCCAGACUCCUGCGGGAGGCAGCAGUGGGGAAUCUUGCGCAAUGGGCGAAAGCCUGACGCAGCGACGCCGCGUGGGGGAUGACGGCCUUCGGGUUGUAAACCUCUUUUACCACUCACGCAGGCCCCGGGUUCUCCCGGGGUUGACGGUAGGUGGGGAAUAAGGACCGGCUAACUACGUGCCAGCAGCCGCGGUAAUACGUAGGGUCCGAGCGUUGUCCGGAAUUAUUGGGCGUAAAGAGCUCGUAGGCGGCGUGUCGCGUCUGCUGUGAAAGACCGGGGCUUAACCCCGGUUCUGCAGUGGAUACGGGCAUGCUAGAGGUAGGUAGGGGAGACUGGAAUUCCUGGUGUAGCGGUGAAAUGCGCAGAUAUCAGGAGGAACACCGGUGGCGAAGGCGGGUCUCUGGGCCUUACCUGACGCUGAGGAGCGAAAGCGUGGGGAGCGAACAGGAUUAGAUACCCCUGGUAGUCCACGCCGUAAACGU
rnacentral:rRNA from 1 species